GCUGCAGCAAAAUCUGUAGCCGGGCGUAGGAACCCGAUUAACCAAACGACGCACAGCACGCGCCAGCGUGUUUUUU
rnacentral:sRNA from 2 species